rnacentral:misc_RNA from 1 species
UCCCCGUUUUCCGGGGCAGUUCCCCUAGAGUGCCCGGCAUAACCCGCUGGCAACUAAGGAUAAGGGUUGCGCUCGUUGCGGGACUUAACCCAACAUCUCACGACACGAGCUGACGACAGCCAUGCAGCACCUCGACUCAUGUACCCGAAGGUAAGCUCCUGUUUCCAGGAGUGUCAUGAGCCGUUCGAGCCCUGGUAAGGUUCUUCGCGUUGCGUCGAAUUGAACCACAUGCUCCACCGCUUGUGCGGGCCCCCGUCAAUUCCUUUGAGUUUCAGUCUUGCGACCGUACUCCCCAGGCGGGGCACUUAAUGUGUUAACUUCGGCACUGGAGGACUCAAUACCUCCAACACCCAGUGCCCAUCGUUUACGGCCAGGACUAC